CGCUUCGCUCGUGUGCAGUGAAAAUCCUUUUUGUUUUUUCUUUAAAAAUAAAAAGAUUGCAACGGAAAGCGGGAACAAUG
rnacentral:sRNA from 1 species